rnacentral:lncRNA from 7 species
GCUCUACGCGACUCCAAGGAGCCCGGUUGCCUGCACCGGAGCUGGGAGCAGCCUGCUCCGCACCCAAGGCUCCAGUUCAACUUCUCCCUUCCAGCCGUGAUCAUCCC